GUUUGUCGCGUUGUUCGUGAAAUCUCACGGCUUAACUGUGAGCGUGCGGGCGAUACGGGCAGACUUGAGUACUGCAGGGGAGAGUGGAAUUCCUGGUGUAGCGGUGGAAUGCGCAGAUAUCAGGAGGAACACCGGUGGCGAAGGCGGGUCUCUGGGCAGUAACUGACGCUGAGGAGCGAAAGCGUGGGGAGCGAACAGGAUUAGAUACCCUGGUAGUCCACGCCGUAAACGGUGGGUACUAGGUGUGGGUUUCCUUCCUUGGGAUCCGUGCCGUAGCUAACGCAUUAAGUACCCCGCCUGGGGAGUACGGCCGCAAGGCUAAAACUCAAAGAAAUUGACGGGGGCCCGCACAAGCGGCGGAGCAUGUGGAUUAAUUCGAUGCAACGCGAAGAACCUUACCUGGGUUUGACAUGCACAGGACGCCGGCAGAGAUGUCGGUUCCCUUGUGGCCUGUGUGCAGGUGGUGCAUGGCUGUCGUCAGCUCGUGUCGUGAGAUGUUGGGUUAAGUCCCGCAACGAGCGCAACCCUUGUCUCAUGUUGCCAGCGGGUAAUGCCGGGGACUCGUGAGAGACUGCCGGGGUCAACUCGGAGGAAGGUGGGGAUGACGUCAAGUCAUCAUGCCCCUUAUGUCCAGGGCUUCACACAUGCUACAAUGGCCGGUACAAAGGGCUGCGAUGCCGCGAGGUUAAGCGAAUCCUUUUAAAGCCGGUCUCAGUUCGGAUCGGGGUCUGCAACUCGACCCCGUGAAGUCGGAGUC
rnacentral:rRNA from 1 species